CAGGCCUAACACAUGCAAGUCGAACGAGAAAGGGGAGCAAUCCCUGAGUAAAGUGGCGACCGGGUGAGUAACACGUGACUAACCUACCUUUUAGUGGGGGAUAACAUCGGGAAACCGAUGCUAAUACCGCAUAACAUCGCAAGAUCAAAGCAGCAAUGCGCUGGAAGAGGGGGUCGCGGCUGAUUAGCUAGUUGGCGGGGUAACGGCCCACCAAGGCGAAGAUCGGUAUCCGGCCUGAGAGGGCGCACGGACACACUGGAACUGAAACACGGUCCAGACUCCUACGGGAGGCAGCAGUGGGGAAUUUUGCGCAAUGGGGGAAACCCUGACGCAGCAACGCCGCGUGGAGGAUGAAGCCCCUUGGGGCGUAAACUCCUUUCGACCAAGACGAUAAUGACGGUACCGGAAGAAGAAGCACCGGCUAACUCUGUGCCAGCAGCCGCGGUAAUACA
rnacentral:rRNA from 1 species